rnacentral:misc_RNA from 1 species
UGCGGCUGGAUCCCCUCCUUUAGAGACAAAAGACAGCACGAAGCCUGUCAGGCGUCCGCACAAGUGACCUGCAUUCAACAGUUCCCGGUAACACCAAGGGUGUACCGCGGGAGCGUCCCGUUUGCACAAUGGGGCUUUAGCUCAGCUGGGAGAGCACCUGCUUUGCAAGCAGGGGGUCGUCGGUUCGAUCCCGACAAGCUCCACCAAACCAGCCAGGGCACGACUUUUGGGUCUGUAGCUCAGGUGGUUAGAGCGCACCCCUGAUAAGGGUGAGGCCGGUGGUUCGAGUCCUCCCAGACCCACCAAACCCGGUCGAGCUGUUGAACUGCGCACACACAUAAAGAUUUGAAACGGAUGCGGCGCUGAAGCCGGAUUCGUGUUCUUUGAAAACUGGGAAUUGUAGCGAGCGUUCUGAGACAGAAGGUCUACAGACGUGUCGUGAGGCUAAGGCGGGAACCCGCGCGCAAGCGUGAGAGUUCCUAACAUUUGAAAUGUCGUUGAUAUUCGCGUCGGGGAUUUGUACUCCCUGGCACAACGAUAAUCCUGAGGCGACUUGGGGUUAUAUGGUCAAGCGAAUAAGCGCACACGGUGGAUGCCUUGGCGGUCAGAGGCGAUGAAGGACGUGGCAGCCUGCGAAAAGUGCGGGGGAGCUGGCGACAAGCAUUGAUCCCGCAAUGUCCGAAUGGGGAAACCCGG